AUGUUGUUCGAUGCUGGGCAUAGACGUGUUUACUUUGCCAAAAAUAAUAAUAUUCAAAUCGAAACUCGCCUUAUAUAUACUUUUAUUUGCAGCCUGCUGCUACGACCCUCAAAGUCGGCGUGGCCAGAACUGGUGGGGUGGCAUGACGGAGACGCUAGUCAUGUCAUCUUUGAAGAGCGGCCGGAUCUGGUUGUUCUAGUGAGGCGGGAGGGUGACCCGGAGCCGCCAACAUUCCAGUAUGACCGUGUCUUCCUAUGGUGCAACCAAACUGACGUUGGUGCCUUCAUCGUCUCCCGGAUUCCGGUCAUUGGAUAA
rnacentral:rRNA from 1 species